rnacentral:misc_RNA from 1 species
GGGCUUUUGGCUUCCUUAACUAGGGUUCUGAAAUUAAUGCUUUGAUCUAGGGUUAGAUAUUCAAUGCUUUAAGGUUUGGAGCCCAUUUAGAGGGUUUAAUACUUUGUUAUGGAGACACGGAAUGAUAUUGAGAGUUGAAACUUUGUUGUUGGCUUGUUGCUUAGGGUUUCCGUCUUCUUGUUCUACUGUCACAAUCAUCUUAUUUCUUCCUUCAUUGUCCAUUCCUCAUCCCUUUUUUUCUUCAACCAUGUACUCUUAUUUUCAACCUUGAUCACAAACUAGACCUGAAAGCAGCUGUUAAUCUAGACUUUGAAGCAUCUGAGUUAAUUGGGAUGGCAUUGUUCCUUGUGUGGCUUAUGUUUCUUUUGGUAUCUUCUGUGCAACGAUCCCUUCUAUGAAAUGUCUUCUUAUGUAGACAAUGAAUGUGCCAAUCAUCUUACCGUGAGAGCUGCC